rnacentral:tRNA from 1 species
GCUCCUAUCGUCUAGUCCGGCCUAGGACGUCGCGUUCUCAUCGCGAAAACUCGGGUUCGAAUCCCGAUGGGAGCA